rnacentral:rRNA from 1 species
UACGUAGGGCGCAAGCGUUAUCCGGAAUUAUUGGGCGUAAAGAGCUCAUAGGCGGUUUGUCGCGUCUGCUGUGAAAACCCGAGGCUCAACCUCGGGCCUGCAGUGGGUACGGGCAGACUAGAGUGCGGUAGGGGAGAUUGGAAUUCCUGGUGUAGCGGUGGAAUGCGCAGAUAUCAGGAGGAACACCAAUGGCGAAGGCAGAUCUCUGGGCCGUAACUGACGCUGAGGAGCGAAAGCAUGGGGAGCGAACAGG